rnacentral:lncRNA from 1 species
AACCCCUGCCCCAAGACAUCAGAAAUUCUUCCAGGGUCUUCCUUUCAUUCACAUAGUCCAGAGGAGAGGUGGGGGUUGUUCGAACCCCAAAUUGUUAAACGUUUUGUGUCGAUAAUAGAGGCACACACACACACACACGUAUUUAUACAUAGCUUACGUUUGGUCCACACUUAAAAUGAGAUUUGGGAUCAUGUCUUACGAACCCUUAAAAGUGAUGAUCACAGUGAGAAGUAUUAUACUUGUGUGUGUGAGCAACCAUUCUAGAGAACUUGGUUGUUAAUCGUUCGAAACUGCCCUUAAAAUCGCAAUUUAUUAAUGAAAAAAUCGGAGACAAGACUAAUUGAACGUCGCAGUGGUGUCACCCUACGCAACUCGAAAACCCCUUAAAAAAAAAAAAAUAAAGCAAUGAAAAUAACGAAAACUUAGCCUAGAACAAAACGGGCGGGAGUUCCCCCCCAGCUGGUCCCCGACUUUGUAACCGAACAUUUGGCUGGAAAUGGCGCGUUAUUUAUUUACUUUUUUAAAUAUCAUUUCCUGUCACCGCUUUUUGUGUUUCGUUCUGCAAAGGGGCAAACUUUGUCGCUCCUUAUUUGAUCUUUCUACCAUUGGCCUGGAUUAAAUGAUAGCUUUGGAUUUAUGGCUGUAGAUUCGUCAUCAACUUACCACAAUGUCCAUUCGCAGUAAAAGAACAUUUUGGAUGGAACAAAGUCCAGAUAACGAAUGUUUUCGUGAUAAACGAUCGCGCCUCAGCAGUGAUGAAGAGGAGGAUCGACGGAGCAGUAAAAUGAGCCCCAAUGGUCUACGGAGUCCAACGUUUGGCUCACAGCACAAUAAACCUGCUGAA